UACGUAGGGUGCAAGCGUUGUCCGGAAUUAUUGGGCGUAAAGAGCUCGUAGGCGGUCUGUCGCGUCGGCUGUGAAAACUCGGGGCUCAACCCCGAGCCUGCAGUCGAUACGGGCAGACUAGAGUGCUGUAGGGGAGAUUGGAAUUCCUGGUGUAGCGGUGGAAUGCGCAGAUAUCAGGAGGAACACCGAUGGCGAAGGCAGAUCUCUGGGCCGUUACUGACGCUGAGGAGCGAAAGCGUGGGGAGCGAACAGG
rnacentral:rRNA from 1 species